UGGGGAAUAUUGGACAAUGGGCGAAAGCCUGAUCCAGCAACGCCGCGUGUGUGAAGAAGGCCUUCGGGUUGUAAAGCACUUUCGAUGGGGAAGAAAAAGCCAAAAAUAAUACUUUUGGAAAUUGACGUUACCCAUAGAAGAAGCACUGGCUAACUCUGUGCCAGCAGCCGCGGUAAUACAGAGAGUGCAAGCGUUAAUCGGAAUUACUGGGCGUAAAGCGCACGUAGGCGGAUACUUUAGUCGGAUGUGAAAUCCCCGAGCUUAACUUGGGAAUUGCAUUCGAUACUGGGUGUCUGGAGUAUGGUAGAGGGAAGUGGAAUUUCUGGUGUAGCGGUGAAAUGCGUAGAUAUCAGAAAGAACACCAGUGGCGAAGGCGACUUCCUGGACCAAUACUGACGCUGAGGUGCGAAAGCGUGGGGAGCAAACAGG
rnacentral:rRNA from 1 species